GGCUACAUGAAAAUCGUGCUAGAAGUUUUAACACUGUAAACUAGUGGUAUUAAUAUUAAUUCAUUAUAUCAAUGUAUUGAUUUAUAGUCCUACGAUCCAACUGGAUCGAUAUGUGCUUGGCGUUCCGGGUGUAAAUAUAGUGAUUUAAAUUGUUUUAAAAGUUAGUACUGUCGAGGCUACUUUCUUCAUCAUCAUCAUCAUCAUCUCUUUUCGUCUUCGUUUCCUUUUCUACGUCCCACAUCUAAUAACUACUUUAUGUAGUUGGACGAGACACCAUAUCGUCUCCCAGGCUUUGGAGGAGGAUGGUGAGGAAUGUUAAGGAACCAGGGGAAGCCAAGCAUCCACUCUCAUCACAAGGUGGGGGUGCAGGGGAGGGACUUGAACGCACCAC